rnacentral:rRNA from 1 species
AGGUUGACCUCGGAUCAGGUAGGGAUACCCGCUGAACUUAAGCAUAUCAAUAAGCGGAGGAAAAGAAACCAACAGGGAUUGCCUCAGUAACGGCGAGUGAAGCGGCAAGAGCUCAAAUUUGAAAUCCGGCCCCCCUGGGGGCCUGAGUUGUAAUUUGCAGAGGAUGCUUCGGGCGCGACCGCGGUCCAAGUCCCCUGGAACGGGGCGUCGUAGAGGGUGAGAAUCCCGUCUCCGGCCGGCCGGUCUCGCCCGUGUGAAGCUCCUUCGACGAGUCGAGUUGUUUGGGAAUGCAGCUCCAAAUGGGUGGUAAAUUUCAUCUAAAGCUAAAUACUGGUCGGAGACCGAUAGCGCACAAGUAGAGUGAUCGAAAGAUGAAAAGCACUUUGAAAAGAGAGUUAAACAGCAUGUGAAAUUGUUGAAAGGGAAGCGCUUGCGACCAGAGUCGGCCGCGGGGGUUCAGCGGGCAUUCGUUGCCCGUGCAAUCCCCCGCGGCCGGGCCAGCGUCGGUUUUGACGGCCGGUCAAAGGCCCCCGGAAUGUGUCGCCUCUCGGGGCGUCUUAUAGCCGGGGGUGCAAUGCGGCCAGUCGGGACCGAGGAACGCGCUCCGGCACGGACGCUGGCUUAAUGGUCGUCAGCGACCCG